rnacentral:rRNA from 1 species
GAUGAACGCUGGCGGCGUGCUUAACACAUGCAAGUCGAACGGAAAGGCUCCUGCUUUCAGGGGUACUCGAGUGGCGAACGGGUGAGUAACACGUGGGUUAUCUGCCCUGCACUUCGGGAUAAGCCUGGGAAACUGGGUCUAAUACCGGAUAGGACGAUUGUUUGGAUGCCAUUGUGGAAAGUUUUUUCGGUGUGGGAUGAGCUCGCGGCCUAUCAGCUUGUUGGUGGGGUAAUGGCCUACCAAGGCGUCGACGGGUAGCCGGCCUGAGAGGGUGGACGGCAACAUUGGGACUGAGAUACGGCCCAGACUCCUACGGGAGGCAGCAGUGGGGAAUAUUGCACAAUGGGCGCAAGCCUGAUGCAGCGACGCCGCGUGGGGGAUGACGGCCUUCGGGUUGUAAACUCCUUUCGCUAGGGACGAAGCGCAAGUGACGGUACCUGGAGAAGAAGCACCGGCUAACUACGUG